AAACCAAAGCACCAGUUUUCUUUCCCUAAACCUUUUUUCAAGAAAUUUAUCUUUUCAGAAUAUGAAAUAUAUAAAGGUAUUAAAUGUAGAAAAAAUUCAUUCCUUUAUUUUAUUUAAUUGAACUGUCAGAUCUAAUUUAAUAAAUGUUCCAGGAUGUAGCUUUUGCGUAGAGAUGUGUAAAUAGCUACAGACAAUUACCAGUAGGUUAGUGGGUUCAGUUUUAUUGUUGAUAUUAAUGUUAUAUUGUUAUCAAGUGAAACUUGAGUUUUAUGUCACAAGAUCUUUCAUGUAUUUUUACAUGUAUUUUCAAUUUUUGCUUUUUUCCAAAGUAAUAUUUAUAUCCUUAUACAUAUCCACUUUCCAUUUGUUUCUUUAUUUAUUACUUCCAUGAUGUUGUAUCUUUAUUUUCAAUGAAUCUUGCCUUUGACUAUGUUGCUUUGUUUGGGGUUAUCUGUUUAUUAUUGUUGUAGAAAAUUUGAUGUGGUUUUAUAAUGUACCUUAAUUGUCGUAAAUCAAGAGUUAUAAUAUCAAUCAGAUGUUUAGUGUUUAAAGCUUUAUUGUUCCAUUUUUUAUAACCAAAGUUCAUGUGACCAAUAUCUCUUGACCUGGUUUUGUGAAGUAGGACCUCCAACAUAUGAUACCAUUUGCUCAUUCAUUGUUUUUUUCUCUUGUUACAGUAUUUGUUCUCUGGUCCCUUCGAGACAUCAAAUUUAUUUACUAUACAUUGAAAAAAAACCCAAAAUACUCUUAUUUAUUUUGAACUUGAAUCAAAUCUUAAAACCAAAAAAAAAACCAAAACAACUCACCUCAAUACAAUCUAGUCCAGUGAAUGAUGUGCAAUUAUAUAGUUAUGUCCAUUUGAUAGGUGUCCUUCGACAUUAACUUCAGCAUUGUCAUUUUAUUAAGCUGUCUCUUUACAUGUAUGAGGCAUCCUUAUAAACCUGAUAAAUUUUGCUUACUUUACUUUAAUUGUUAUAUUUUUUAUAGAACAAUACAAUGAAACUUCACAAUAACAACACCCAUCAAAAACAGACAUUCUGGUUUGUUUUGGAAGUCCCUGUCAUAUCCCCUUUAUUCUCAAGAAAUCUCAGCAAAACCUGUAACCCUUCCAACCCUGUUACUUAGUCUGGACCAGCUAGUGGCAGGUGAAGAUAUUUUUACUGUAACACUUCAAUAUGUUUUUUUUUCUGAAAUGAGAUCCAUGUAUUAUAAUUUAUAUAUUUGUUUUUAAAACUAUGUUAAAGUUUUGGUUUUACAUGAGCUUACUGUUUCUGGUUAUAAUGCAUAUUAAACUCUGAAAGUGCAUCCUCCC
rnacentral:misc_RNA from 1 species